GUGUAGGUGAGGAGGACAUAUUUUUGGAUGCUCUUUACUGUCACAAAGCUCAUAAAGAAAUUCAUAAAAUAGACUCUUGCAUGAGACAGAUGUACUCAUAUUUCAGGCUCAAUAUAACAUGAAACUUGUAAGCUAUUGGUGGAAUUCCGUUAGUGGCCUCUGCAGUGAUGGAGAACAUAGAGUGUUGUUUUGGAGUGAUAACAGAACUGCAGCUUGCAGCUGAUCCUGGUGAGUACCAAAACCAACUCAUGUUAAUCACUCGAGGAAGAAAGGAAUUUAACACAGAAGUCAAAUUUUACUUGGUCCAAACCACUUUGUUUGCGAGUCUUUCUAGCUGUUAAAACAUAAAAAAGAUAUAUCUAGGUUAGUUCGAUAUGGUUUCUACUUAAAAGUUUCAAAAAUUGCUCACUUACCUUCACUUAGUAACCCCUGGUGGAUCCAGCUUGAAAUUGUCAUAAACAAAAGAGAAGUGCAAACAAAGCCAUGUAAACCACAUAUGGCAUGAUGAUCAAGCCCCAUUUUGAAAGUAUGAGUGAAACUUGAACCAUGUAUGAGAAGGGGAUGCAGUAAGAGAGAACUCAAGCAAAAGAAUAUAAAUUUUGAUUCAAUUAUUGGGAAAGAAAAGACAGGGAGAGUGUGUGCCAGAAAGGUGGAGGAAGAAACUAGAUAUAAGAUAAAGAAGAAGAGUUUACAGGAAUCAGUAGGUAAUGAACAAAGUUAAGCUUUUGUCUUUAAAUGACUAACUUUAUGGUUUGUUAUAGAUGUCUUUGAUAGUAUACCUGCUUCUUUUUGCAAUUUAUAGCAAAUUAGGGAGGUUUUUCAAUCCCCUGAUAGAACCUCUACAAUAUUGUGCGAUUUUCAGCAAUAUAUUUUUCAUCAUGAAUAAAUUUGUUUUUCCCUGCUAUCUUGGAAAUGCAUGUUCAUCUUCAUUCAAAAGAUAAAACUGAAGAAAAAGAAAGAAAACUUUGUCUGUCUGAGAUAAGUUUAAGGCAUAUUUGAAUUAUACAAUGACAUGUCAUGGAACUUGAAUGUUUCGGUCUUCUCUUUAUUUGGAAUUUUGUUUUCUUCCUCUUUAGUCUUUUAUAUGAAACAACAGUAACCAUGCUUAUUUCAUUAACAUGUUUGUGCUUCACUUUUGAUUAAAUAUUGUCUUAACCUACUUACAAAAAGGUGUGUGAAAUCAAAUUGAUUUUUUUUACAAAGAAUUGGAAUAUAAUAUACUGACAAGCAAAGAGGAGUAACUUAUAAGAGAAUUCGAAGAACUUUUAAUUUUCUAGCAGUAUAUCCAUUAUCUGGUAAUAUGAUUGAUUUUGCUUAUAUGAAGAUUUGGUAGCAUAAGUUGCAAUAAGUAGGAGAACUGAAACCGGUUGAUUUGCAUGUAUUACUAUUAAAUUGAUGUAGGAGAAUUUAGGGUGAAGGAGUAGGUGUUGUAGAAGGAGCUUAUCAGAAAAGAGUGGAGAAAAACUUUUCUGCAAGAAUAGCAUUUGCUGCAUCCUAAUGAUGGAAGGAAUCCCAAAAUAUGUUGGUCUUUGGAAAUUUGAUAAAAAGGAAAAGCUAUACUUGAGAAGAUGAUAGGUUGUAUUAAUGAUUUGUUCCUUUGAUCAUGAUUGUGCAUCGACUAUACUUCUUUUAGACUUUCCAAAUUUUGGAGUUGCUAGCAACUUAUUUCAAAUACUUUAGUCAAACUUUGAUUAUAAAUAAAAGCAUGUUUGGCUAGCUGCCUAGCUCCAAAUUUUAGUUUUAGUUUAAAAUUAUAUUAUUACAAAUUACAAUUUUACAUUAACCCGUAUUUGUUAGAGUUGUUUGAGAAAGAAGAGAAAGGUGAGAGAGUUAAGGUCCCAUGGUCUUGGCGCUAAAUCUUACAUCAAAUGAGCGACAUCAAUGACUACAUCUCUUUGAUACUAGAGUUCUUAGGGUUAUGUGCCAGCAAGCAGAUGCUCUUGAUCCAAUUGCAUGUUUUCUCUUUUUAGCUGUCAACACCACAUCAAUUGUUGUGGAGCUUAUGAUAAUAGAGCAAUCUUAAUUUCAUGGUUUGUUAGAUUAACUCCUCUCAGUUUAACACUUAACAAUGAAUUUUACAGCAACCAAUUCACACCAAAAUAGGCUUGUGGAAUGAGAA